rnacentral:rRNA from 1 species
GACGAACGCUGGCGGCGUGCUUAACACAUGCAAGUCGAACGGAAAGGCCCUGCUUUUGUGGGGUGCUCGAGUGGCGAACGGGUGAGUAACACGUGAGUAACCUGCCCUUGACUUUGGGAUAACUUCAGGAAACUGGGGCUAAUACCGGAUAGGAGCUCCUGCUGCAUGGUGGGGGUUGGAAAGUUUCGGCGGUUGGGGAUGGACUCGCGGCUUGUCAGCUUGUUGGUGGGGUAGUGGCUUACCAAGGCUUUGACGGGUAGCCGGCCUGAGAGGGUGACCGGCCACAUUGGAACUGAGAUACGGCCCAGACUCCUACGGGAGGCAGCAGUGGGGAAUAUUGCACAAUGGGCGGAAGCCUGAUGCAGCAACGCCGCGUGCGGGAUGACGGCCUUCGGGUUGUAAACCGCUUUCGCCUGUGACGAAGCGUGAGUGACGGUAAUGGGUAAAGAAGCACCGGCUAACUACGUG